UACAGGCAGGUGCAAGCGUUUGUCCGGGAAUCACUGGGCGUAAAGGGCGCGUGAGGCGGCCUGGUAAGUAGGGGGUGAAACGAUCAGGGCUUAACCCUCGAACCCGCCUUCUAAUGCCAGCUCGAGCGCAGUAGAGGCAGGGUUCGGAAUUCCCGGGUGUAGGCGGAUUGGAAUGCGUAGAGAAUCGGGAAGAACAUCGGUGGCGAAGGCGGCCUGCUGGGCUGUGAGCUGACGCUG
rnacentral:rRNA from 1 species